rnacentral:rRNA from 1 species
AUGAAAAGAGGAGGAUGGUCUAACCCUCCGACGGGAUUUGUUAAACUUAACGUUGAUGCUUCUUUUGACCUAGACCUUCUCAGGGGUACGAUCGGGGUUGUCUUAAGAGAUGACAAAGGUAGGUUCAUCGGUGGGGGAAGUGGUAAGAUUGACUGGUGUGCAGAUGUGUUGAUAGCUGAAGCUUUGGUGUUAAAAUUUGGCCUAUCGCUUGCGCAAAGGACGGCUUGUAAUCGCAUAAUUAUUAACUCGGAUAAUAUGGAGGUGAUCGAGACCAUGAACGAAGGAGGACGAUCGUCGGGGGCAGCAGCUGCAAUUUUUUAUGACUGUUUUCACUUAGCUUGCGAUUUUUCUAUUUCUAGAUUCGAGCAUUGUAAUAGAGAGGCAAAUAAAGUUGCUUAUGAACUUGCCAAGUUGGCUAGAUUUUCAUUCAUUUCUGAUUGGUUUAAGGAACCACAUAAUGCAAUUGUACCAAUCCUCAUAAACGAUGUAAUGAUUAUUUCUAAUGAAUAA